GAUUGACACGCUCAUUCUCUUUAAGAAAAAGAAGCAACCGUCGGUUAAUCAACUGCUUUUUCUUUUCUAUUGGCAGUUGAUUCGACGGUUGCUCUUUUUCUUUAAGAGAAAGAAAGAAAAAAGAAACGUUUGGAAAAUUUCUUUAAGAAAUUCGUUUCUUUUCUUUCUUUAAUG
rnacentral:ribozyme from 1 species